CUGCAGCCUCACUGCUCAAUCCUCUGCCAUUUAGGAGUUAAAUCCCUUUGUUUAUGAACCCUAGUCACACCUCCCUGCAUGUGACUUGCACAGCCUUCCACAAGCAAUUCCUGUAAAGAGAGCCCUAUUUAGGCUUUCUUUAUUGCAAGUUCUGUUUAAGAUUUUCUUAUCCCCUGCUAUGUUAAUAGCUUGCUAGACCCUGCAAGAGCCUCCUGUAUGUGAUUAAAGUUCAAUUUAGAGAUUGGGAUACAAU